ACGUUUUCGUUUCUUUAGGAAUAAGGAAGUAAUAACUAAUAACAAAAGUAAUGUGGAAAUUUGAGAAAACCAUGCACAAAAGGAAACAUCCUGUAGUAUUUGCCACAGUAUCGUAAAUGUUGGAAAUUUCGUAGUAAUUGAAGAAAGUAUCGAACAAAUCGUAGAUGUCCUUUUACUGAAACUAAACGGGACAGAAAAAGGCAAAUCUGUAAUAUGAGAUGCCUGUUCCAUUAAACUGUAUGCGGCAUUUAAUUUCAAGGCGAUCUGUAGGGAGGCGGAGAACUGUAUCUUUUCCUACAUUGAUACUGAAAUCGGGGCGCCCAUUGACCAAAGUGAAAUUUAUGUAAAUGAAAGAGGCAAAGAACAUUUAAAAGAUAUAUUACAAGACGAGAGGAUUUGUCGGCUGUGUAUGCAAGCGAUCACCCAUGGGUUUACGUCGAUAAAAGAUGUAGGUGUUGAUACGUUCCGCAUAUAUAUUCCAGAAGUGAACUUUAAUUCCGUCAGAGAACCAGUUAUAUGCAAAGCUUGCCUCAAUUCAUUGGAUAGUCACAC